CACGUAGGGGGCAAGCGUUGUCCGGAUUUAUUGGGCGUAAAGGGCUCGUAGGCGGUUCGACAAGUCGGGUGUGAAACCUCCAGGCUCAACCUGGAGACGCCGCUCGAAACUGUUGUGACUAGAGUCCGGUAGAGGAGUGUGGAAUUCCUGGUGUAGCGGUGGAAUGCGCAGAUAUCAGGAGGAACACCAGUAGCGAAGGCGACACUCUGGGCCGGUACUGACGCUGAGACGCGAAAGCGUGGGGAGCGAACAGG
rnacentral:rRNA from 1 species